rnacentral:rRNA from 1 species
GACGAACGCUGGCGGCGUGCCUAAUACAUGCAAGUAGAACGCACAGUUUAUACCGUAGCUUGCUACACCAUAGACUGUGAGUUGCGAACGGGUGAGUAACGCGUAGGUAACCUGCCUGGUAGCGGGGGAUAACUAUUGGAAACGAUAGCUAAUACCGCAUAAUAUUAAUUAUUGCAUGAUAAUUAAUUGAAAGGUGCAAUUGCACCACUACCAGAUGGACCUGCGUUGUAUUAGCUAGUAGGUGAGGUAACGGCUCACCUAGGCGACGAUACAUAGCCGACCUGAGAGGGUGAUCGGCCACACUGGGACUGAGACACGGCCCAGACUCCUACGGGAGGCAGCAGUAGGGAAUCUUCGGCAAUGGACGAAAGUCUGACCGAGCAACGCCGCGUGAGUGAAGAAGGUUUUCGGAUCGUAAAGCUCUGUUGUAAGAGAAGAACGGGUGUGAGAGUGGAAAGUUCACACUGUGACGGUAUCUUACCAGAAAGGGACGGCUAACCACGCG